GAUGAACGCUGGCGGCGUGCCUAAUACAUGCAAGUCGAGCGAACGGACGAGAAGCUUGCUUCUCUGAUGUUAGCGGCGGACGGGUGAGUAACACGUGGAUAACCUACCUAUAAGACUGGGAUAACUUCGGGAAACCGGAGCUAAUACCGGAUAAUAUUUUGAACCGCAUGGUUCAAAAGUGAAAGGCGGUCUUGCUGUCACUUAUAGAUGGAUCCGCGCUGCAUUAGCUAGUUGGUAAGGUAACGGCUUACCAAGGCAACGAUGCAUAGCCGACCUGAGAGGGGGUGGGGCAAAAGUGAAAGUGAGACACGGCCCGGCGCCCGAGGGGAGGAGGCAGAGGGGAUUCUCCGAAAAGGGGGGAAGGCUGGACGGAGCAACGCGGGGGGAGUGAGGAAGUUGUCGGAACCGAAAAACUGUUUUAUGGGGGAAAAAAAUAGUGGAAAGAAACUGGGCACAUCUGGAGGGUACCUAACCAAAACACCACGACAAACUCCGUC
rnacentral:rRNA from 1 species